rnacentral:rRNA from 1 species
AGUGAACGCUGGCGGUAGGCCUAACACAUGCAAGUCGAACGGCAGCACAGUAAGAGCUUGCUCUUACGGGUGGCGAGUGGCGGACGGGUGAGGAAUACAUCGGACUCUACUUUUUCGUGGGGGAUAACGUAGGGAAACUUACGCUAAUACCGCAUACGACGUACGGGUGAAAGCAGGGGAUCUUCGGACCUUGCGCGAUUGAAUGAGCCGAUGUCGGAUUAGCUGGUUGGCGGGGUAAAUGCCCACCAAGGCGACGAUCCGUAGCCGGUCUGAGAGGCUGGUAGGCCACACUGGAACUGAGACAGCGUCCAGACGACUACGGGAGGCAGCAGUGGGGAAUAUUGGACAAUGGGCGCAAGCCUGAUCCAGUCAUACCGCGUGGGUGAAGAAGGCCUUCGGGUUGUAAAGCCCUUUUGUUGGGAAAGAAAAGCAGCAGGUUAAUACCCCGCUGUUCUGACGGUACCCAAAGAAUAAGCACCGGCUAACUUCGUG